GUGCUCGCUUCAGCAGCACAUAUACUAAAAUUGGGAUGAUACAGAGAAGAUUAGCAUGGCCCCUGCGCAAGAAUGGCAUGCAAAUUCAUGAAGCUUUUCAUAUUUUU
rnacentral:snRNA from 1 species